AUCUACGCUUCUUCCUGAAAGAAUUGUGGGGACUUAUUUAGCUGUCGACUGGUGCCAACUUCCACUGCACAACUAAUUCUUUAAAGCCAUACCUACAACGGUGAUGCCCUGAGAUAACAUUGCCUAAGAAAGCUGUGUUCAUCUUACUUCGUACAAGCAUCUCCAUGAGGUUUGAACAACACAAUGUCAGCCUUUCUGCCUCAGCCUCCAGAGCUUGUAUUGUAGGUGUGAGCUACCACCUGGCUUCUGGUCCUAUUUUUAAAGACAUCUUAGAGACUAAAACGUCGUUAAAUUUUCAUAGUGCGUUCCCAGCUUCAUCUCUGCCGUGUAGUGUGAGGUGCAUGUAAAUGAUUUUGUCCUGCCUGCUGGACAAGAAGCUAUGGGGUUACCCGGGCCCUCUUCCUGGGCAGUGUUGGCAGCUAGCAAUGAAGCAGUUGUGUUCCUUCUAUAGUGGAGUGUACUCUGGGGGCGUCUGCUUCCCUAAAUCUUCACUCCAUUGUUCACCUACAGCAAUGGUUCUCAACCUUCUCAAAGCUGUGACUUCUUAAUACGGUUCCUCAUGUUGUGGUGAUCCCACCCCACAACCAUAAAAUUAUUUUCAUUGC
rnacentral:lncRNA from 1 species